UACGGAGGGUGCGAGCGUUGUCCGGAAUCAUUGGGCGUAAAGGGCGCGUAGGUGGCCACUUCAAGCGUGCGGUGAAAGUCGGGGGCUCAACCCCUGAUCGGCCGUGCGAACUGGGGGGCUGGAGCACUGUAGAGGCAGGCGGAAUUCCGGGUGUGAGCGGUGGAAUGCGUAGAUAUCGUAAGGAAGACCAGUGGCGAAGGCGGGUCUCUGGACAGUUCCUGACGCUGAGGGCACGA
rnacentral:rRNA from 1 species